rnacentral:misc_RNA from 1 species
CAGGAUUCCUUUCAUAGAACAUAUCUGCUCGUCAUUUGACUACUGAAACACAAACAAGACUGUUUACCCAGUUCAAAGAACUAACACACAUCGAACACACUUCAAAAACUCAAAAGCUGACAAAGGGUUUUACUUUGCCAUUAUUGAAAACACAAAUACUGCACUCGUUUAUUAGGGGUCGCAUGUAAACACACGAAUUGCGACAGACACAUAGAAGAAAGAUUUCAAAAGACCGAGUCUACUUGAUCAGUGAGAUGCUAUCUUGCUACUGAUUGACUUGUUAAACCAUGUCUUCCAGCUUCCAGCUCCCUUCCGGAUUGGUGACUGCUUACCACCAUCGGCUGUGUUCUCGCCCUGUGAUGACUUCUUGAACAGCAUGAAGUUCCGAACUCCAAGCGAUCCAAUAGUCUCCCAUGGACCAAGAGCUUCAGUGCCAGCACUGGGGCAAUAAAGCACAAAGUUACUGAAGUCAGAACCAAGAACAGGAAGGCGGCCUUCCCUAGCAUAAGCUUUCAUUGCAGUAUCAAUAACAUCAGCCACAAGCUCCUCUUCAUUAACAACAAACCGGAUCGGACCGGCACUUCCGAGAACCGUAAUACUAAUCAAAAUCCGGUUACCUUUUCCGGUUUGAUUCUUCUUUGGCUUGUAAAGCAACAUCUUGUUUUUAAUUUCAAAUUUUUUUCUGAUAAUUUUCCAAAAUUUAUUUUCAAUCAUACAAAUCAGAGCAAAAAGAAGAAAAAAUCACGAUUUCCAGAAAUUGUGGGAAAAGCGAACAGCGUUUAAGGGUCAACACCGAGGCAGCGGAAGUACCAGCCUUCUUUGCAAGAGCCAAAGGAGAAAGCAGAUGAAACAGAGAUCCCCCUUUUUGGUGUUAAAGGGGAGAUCAUUAACAAGUUCUUGAGGAUUUCUACCAUUCACAAUGGAAUUCGAAAGAAAAAGAAAGAAAACAAUUCUUAAGAUGAAAGAAACAAAGUUUUUUUCGAGAGAAAAACAACGAUGGAUGAUGAGUUUGGG